rnacentral:rRNA from 1 species
ACUCCUACGGGAGGCAGCAGUAGGGAAUCUUGCGCAAUGGAGGGAACUCUGACGCAGCGACGCCGCGUGAACGAUGAAGGUCUUCGGAUCGUAAAGUUCUGUCCUUAGGGAAGAAGGUCACUUAACGUGACUUGACGGUACCUGUGGAGGAAGCCCCGGCUAACCACGUGCCAGCAGCCGCGGUAAU